GGCGGAGCCGGGCUGGGGCGCGCACGGGGCGGGAACAGCCGGGGCGGGGCAGCCGCGGAGCCUGGCUGGGGCGCGCACGGGGCGGCGCUCGGGCUGCGCGGGCUCUCGGCGGUGGAGGCGGCGGCGGCAGCAGCAUCCUCUCUACCUCCGCUUCCCUACGGCCUCUUUCUCCUUCCUGUCCUUUCCCUCGUUUCUUCGGUCGCCGGGUCUCCCCGGCUCCUCCCACGGAGGAGCUCUAGCUCUGCGAGUAAGCUGUGACCGCGGGUGCGUCCUCUUUCCGCGCCCAGCCACCCUCUGAAACACUGCUGCCUGCUCUAAUGAAUGGUGGAGGCUGGAAUACAUAGAAGGCAAGUAUACUUACCUGGCCUCUGGCCAACAUGGGGAGCUUCAUACCCACUGAUGGCCCUGUCAGGUUCAGCAGUCAAACUGUAAUCUAUACCUUUAAGGAUCAUGAUACAUGAGAAG
rnacentral:lncRNA from 1 species